AACACGGUAAUGCGCAAUAUUUCAUAUAUAUGCCUCCAUAUAUUCCAAACUCGUCUAAAUACAUUGGCAUUGAGUGUCUACGUUGAACAAUAAAAAUGGAAGUUUUGCAAAUUGUUGUAUUAGUUAUCAUAAAUGUUUUCUAUGCUGACGCAACAAUAUGUAGGACCUCAUUCGGCUUGAAGGACUGUUCCUAUGGAUGUUGUACACACGAAAUAACAAGAGUAGUCUCCUGCUGUGGGCCAGGUACUUCGGUGUUAGUUAUUACCAUGGUCCCCACUGUUCUCUUUGUAUUCGCUAUGAUCACAACUGCCUGCGUCUUCUCUCACAAGGCAUCAAGGAAGAUUGGAUCAUCAUACAUUGGUUAAUCAGGUGAGUCCAAAAUACGAGCGUCCAAUUGACGACCAGACUUAUAGCAACUUUUAUGGAGGUCGUGAGGAGUACUCGUCACGGAAAGAAUCCUCAAAAGUGAAGUUUUAAAGCCAGCUUGUGUCGUGUCAUUGGUGCCAAUUACAAUUGAACACAUAUGUACUUAUUACUAUUAGUAGUUUAUUUUGUCUCUUGUUUAUGACAUUUUUAACGUUAAGAAUGAAACUAAAAUUUCGUAAAUAUGUAUUUCAUAUCAAGAAAAUUGAAUCAAAUUGUGUUUUUGUAUAAAUGAAGUUACAAACACAUUUUCAUAUAUAAAUCUUUCUCUUUCAACCCGUACUUAAAGGUAAUAUAUUUGA